GCGUGCGCAGUGCCACCUACUGGCAGAAUAUGAUAAUAGCCGGCAGAAGCCAUUACGAUUCUAACGCGAGUUCAAACGUGCGUGUUUUUGUACUUCGCUUAUUAUUUUCCGCUUAUAUUUUUGUUAGAAGCAUUAUUUAACGUAGUAUUAAGAUAUUAAGAUAUCACGCUGUUAUCGCAGUUAUGAGACUUGACGAGUUACGAUGAAAAACUAUGAAUCGAUACGUUGUAAAUGGAGAUAUUCCAGAUUGAGUUACCGGCAGAAAAAUUAUCGGAAAUUACCCGUCUCUGAAUGGGAGUCUUAAUCGAUAAGUGAGCAAAAGGAAGGAAGGAAGGAAGGAAGGAAGGAAGGAAGGAAGGAAGGAAGGAAGGAAGGAAAGAUCGAACGAAGAAACGAAGAAAGAACAUAGAUAUGGAGGGGAGAAAAAACGAGUGCUCGCGAACGUGUACGCGCGACCAUUCUAACCGAGUCACGAUGAGAAAUCCACACCUGUCUGAACACACGAAGUGUCGUACCACUUAAGCGUCCAGAACUCGCUGCUUCUGUUCGACGUCAGUUGAUGAAAAAGAAAAAAAAGAAACAAACAAAGAGAAAGAAAACGAAAGGAAAGUAUUAACAUCGUUUGAACAAUUUUCAAAGGAAACCAUGAAUAUAUCGGUUCCGACGAAUAUCUUAGUCUAAUCUACUUUGUUAUAAGGAUAAAGUAACGAAACGAUAAGGAGCUCGUUAAUUGAAUUGACGGCAAUUAAUAUCGUCGAAUCAUUCUUCCUACGUUUCUCCUUCUCAGAGCCAUCGUUUCAAUGGGAUAGACGAAAGAAAACCUGAUAAGCGGGACGUCCCUUCCGAUGGAUGAAAAGUUGAUUCGGUCAUAAAUCAAUCUAGACGCGAUUUACUUUCUUGGAGUAGCGCCAACCGAACGAAGGAACGGAAUUCUGCAGUCAAUGAUUUCUUCAUUCCGCAUUCGUAUACUCGUUCGAUAGAUGAAUUCGUCUUCUUCGAUAAGGUUUGAAGAAGAAAAGAGUGGAAAAGGAAAAUGAAAAGGAAGAGGAGGAGGAGGAAGGGGAAAAGGAGAAGAAGAAGAAGAAAAUAAAAAGAAAACGAAAAAAAAAAUAGAAAUCCAAAUGAGUAUGAGAGGAGAGUGAUGGAGAGGGGAUGUAGGAGAGAAGACGUUAUCGCGAAUAAUCGAAAGAGAUAGGAGGAAAAGGGGAUUAUCUCGAAGAGAAGCAAAGAGAGUAAAAGUUCGGAGAAUGAAUUGCGGGGGAAGAUGAAACAAUGAAACGACGAUAACGACGCGCUAGCAGUUACGAAAAUAAAUGUAUGCGAGCGAUUACGAGUGAGGGAGAGAGAGAGAGAGUCCGUUGGUAUUUCCAGUCUGAAGGCCCGACGAGUGCCGAGAAAUGAAAUUUUACGCGAUUCUUGCUCGUUCGAACGAUUUGCAUUUCACAAAGAGAGAAAACAAUGCUCGGAGUCUGACGUAGGACGAGAUUAUUCCUCCAUCUAAUUUCACUUGGCUCUUCGUUAUACCCAAAGACUUCCUAAUGUCGCUUCUUAGAAAUUCAGUGAGUCAGUACGCCGACAACGCCGACGCCGACGACGACGACGACAACGACGACGACGACGACGACGACGACGACGACGACGAAUGUUGGUCCACUUUCUUGCAAAAGAUACGUAUUUGCCAGCGGCACGUGGCUCUACGAGUCUUCCAUGCAUAAAAUCUCCAUGAAUUGAAGAAAAUGUCGUGAACGUUGCGUUAUAUUACAUCUAGAAUUAUCAUUAGGUUUUUUAAUUCUCCCUAUUUCGUUACUUUCGAAGAAAAAUAUUCGACCAACUUGGAUAGAGGAGAUAAAUGAAAUGUGUUUAAAUAAUAGGAAAUAAUUAAGAAAAUGAAUAGGAGGCUUUUUCCGAGCUGCUGAAAUGUUGGACGUGCCAUUUGCAAGGAUUAUUAGAGACCCAUGCUCU